UAACGGCGAGUGAACAGGGAAAAGCCCAGCACCGAAGCCUGUGGUCAUUUGGCCCCUAGGCAAUGUGGUGUUCAGGUUAGCUCGCGAAGAUGCUGCUCCACCCUAAGUCCUAUAAUGAGUAAGGUUACUCGGACAUGGCCCAAUGAGGGUGAAAGGCCCGUGGGGGUGGAGAUUCAGAAUGGCCAGUAUCUUCCUGAGCAGACCUUGGAGUCGGGUUGUUUGUGAAUGCAGCCCAAAGCGGGUGGUAAACUCCAUCCAAGGCUAAAUACUAGCACGAGUCCGAUAGCGAACAAGUACCGUGAGGGAAAGUUGAAAAGUACUUUGAAGAGAGAGUAAACAGUGCGUGAAACCGUUCAGAGGUAAACAGGUGGAGUUGAACUGCAAGCUCUGAGGAUUCAGCUGGUGAGUAUGGCAUGAGCUUGGUCAUAUUGGUUGUGUGCUCGGGUCUGCUUAGCUGCAGGUCCCCGCUUCGGUGGGGAUGCGCGAAUCACUCAUCAGGUGUUGUGCGCCCGGGUACUGACGGACCUGCUUGCCAGUGCACUUUCUCAGAGUGUUCACCACGACCGACGUUGCUGUCUGGCUGUUGCGGUUAAACCGGCUUGGUAGGGUCCUUGUGUCCUUGCUAGGUCGGGAUGGCAGGUAGCCCGUUGUGCGAUUUAUCGUGCUUCGGGUGUAAUAGCCGACUGCUUCGGUUCUGUGCGGUACGUCGGAGACGGCGGCUUGUUGUGCGUGCGGGCGUGCCUGUCGCGCCGGCGGCUCUGGGUCUGGUUGCCUUGUUGCUUGUGAAUGCAGGCCAGGUGAUGGCUCGGUGUCGUUCGGUCGGCGGUUGCGUUUGUUGCACUUUGAAAGGGCCCACAGUCUGUGGUGUAGUGGUAGACUAUCCACCUGACCCGUCUUGAAACACGGACCAAGGAGNAGUAACAUGUGCGCGAGUCAUUGGGCGUUACGAAACCCAAAGGCGCAGUGAAAGUGAAGGCUCGGCUUGUCUGGGCUGAGGUGAGAUCCUGUCGUUUCUCAUGCGCGGUACUACCAAGCUUCGAGCGGCAGGCGCAUCACCGGCCCGUCCCAUGGCGUAGAGGCAGCCUCGUGCUUGCUCAUCGUCGGGGCGGAGCAUGAGCGUACAUGUUGAGACCCGAAAGAUGGUGAACUAUGCUUGCGCAGGUUGAAGCCAGAGGAAACUCUGGUGGAGGACCGCAGSGAUUCUGACGUGCAAAUCGAUCGUCAAACGUGAGUAUAGGGG
rnacentral:rRNA from 1 species